ACUCCUACGGGAGGCAGCAGUGGGGAAUUUUGGACAAUGGGCGAAAGCCUGAUCCAGCAAUGCCGCGUGAGUGAAGAAGGCCUUCGGGUUGUAAAGCUCUUUUGUCAGGGAAGAAACGGUGAAAGCUAAUAUCUUUUGCUAAUGACGGUACCUGAAGAAUAAGCACCGGCUAACUACGUGCCAGCAGCCGCGGUAAUACGUAGGGUGCAAGCGUUAAUCGGAAUUACUGGGCGUAAAGCGUGCGCAGGCGGUUUUGUAAGUCUGAUGUGAAAUCCCCGGGCUCAACCUGGGAAUUGCAUUGGAGACUGCAAGGCUAGAAUCUGGCAGAGGGGGGUAGAAUUCCACGUGUAGCAGUGAAAUGCGUAGAUAUGUGGAGGAACACCGAUGGAGAAGGCAGCCCCCUGGGUCAAGAUUGACGCUCAUGCACGAAAGCGUGGGGAGCAAACAGGAUUAGAUACCCCGGUAGUCCC
rnacentral:rRNA from 1 species